rnacentral:rRNA from 1 species
AGGGAAAGUUGAAAAGUACUCUGAAGAGAGAGUAAACAGUACGUGAAACCGCUCAGAGGUAAACGGGUAGAGUUGAACUGCAAGCCUUGGAGAUUCAGCUGAUGAACGUGAAAUGAACUUGGGUAUGUCGACUGGCUGCGGAGGACUGCUUAACUGCGGGUUGCUGCCUUUGGGUGGUGAUGCGGGAUGCACUUUUCACGUGUUACGCGCCUCUGUGGACCGGGUCAGUUCAUUAGUGCACUUUUCCAUGGUGUUCACCACGACCGACGUGGCUGUUGGCCUGCUGUGCAAAGAGAGGUAACUCAUUGGUCUCGGCUGAUGAGUGUAAUAGCCUAGUACGGUAGAGCUAUGCAGUGUGUCGGAGACGGCGGCAUGUAACGGAGCCGACAGUCUGUGGUGUAGUGGUAUGCUCUCUACCUGACCCGUCUUGAAACACGGACCAAGGAGUUUAACAUGUGCGCGAGUCAUUGGGUAUACGAAACCUACAGGCGCAGUGAAAGUGAAUGUCUAGCUUCGGCUGGACUGAGGUGAGAUCUUGUCGUUCCUCAUGCGCGGUACUACCAAGUAUUCGAGCGGCAGGCGCAUCACCGGCCCGUCCCAUUGUGUGGUCAUGGUCUUUCGGGGCUAUGCGUCACCGGGGCGGAGCAUGAGCGUGCAUGUUGAGACCCGAAAGAUGGUGA